GACGGAGGGUGCUAGCGUUGUUCGGAAUUACUGGGCGUAAAGCGCACGUAGGCGGCUUUGCAAGUUAGAGGUGAAAGCCCAGGGCUCAACCCUGGAAUUGCCUUUAAAACUGCAUCGCUAGAAUUGUGGAGAGGUAAGUGGAAUUCCGAGUGUAGAGGUGAAAUUCGUAGAUAUUCGGAAGAACACCAGUGGCGAAGGCGACUUACUGGACACAUAUUGACGCUGAGGUGCGAAAGCGUGGGGAGCAAACAGG
rnacentral:rRNA from 1 species